AAUAAUAACACGAAUUUGACCUGAUUAAAACAACACAAUAAUAAUACAAUAAUAUGCGAAUUACAUAUCAAAUUAACCACUGAACAGAUUCAUGGUUUGAAAAAACAAUGAAAUUUAAAAGCUCACAUAAUAAGUCCCAUUCAUCAACAUAAAUCAUAGGUUCAGUCCAACAAAAUAAAAGUCUAGCAACAUAAAAAUAUCGCCAUCUAGUGAAGUGUUUCAAGUUCAACAAAAUAAAAGUCUAACAACAUAAAAAUAUCGCCAUCUAGUGCCCGUUCUUGGAGUCCAAUCCACAAAUAGUUCUUCAUAUCAGGACAUACUCAUCCUGAAAAUUUCAAGAUGAAAAUAUAAGAACAUAUCAGGCUGAAAUCAAGUGAAUCCAAUUAGGAAAAGGCAUAAGUUUUAUAAUUUGUAGACUCAAUAUAAUCUUAUCUCAAUAAUGGAUCAAUUUGCUCAAACUAACCAUCAACGUCAAUAGUGGAGAUCGAGGAGGAUUCCGUUUGAGGUUCAUCAUCGCCAUGUAGAAAGUUUUCGGCUAACUCACAUGUUGGUACUUCGCUUUUGAAGGCUUUGAAGAAAAAAAAAUUAGAAUUGGUAUAUAUAUCAAUAAUUUAAAAUGUCAACAUUANUUAUAACCUGAAUUUGACCUGAUUAAACACGAACACAGUAAUUACACGAAUUUGACCUGAUUAAAACAACACAAUAAUAAUACAAUAAUAUGUGAAUUACAUAUCAAAUUAACCACUGAACAGAUUCAUGGUUUGAAAAAACAAUGAAAUUUAAAAGCUCACAUAAUAAGUCCCAUUCAUCAACAUAAAUCAUAGGUUGAGUCCAACAAAAUAAAAGUCUAGCAACAUAAAAAUAUCGCCAUCUAGUGAAGUGUUUCAAGUUCAACAAAAUAAAAGUCUAACAACAUAAAAAUAUCGCCAUCUAGUGCCCGUUCUUGGAGUCCAAUCCACAAAUAGUUUUCAUAUCAGGACAUACUCAUCCUGAAAAUUUCAAGAUGAAAAUAUAAGAACAUAUCAGGCUGAAAUCAAGUGAAUCCAAUUAGGAAAAGGCUAAGUUUUAUAAUUUGUAGACUCAAUAUAAUCUUAUCUCAAUAAUGGAUCAAUUUGCUCAAACUAACCAUCAACACAAUAGUGGAGAUCGAGGAGGAUUCCGUUUGAGGUUCAUCAUCGCCAUGUAGAAAGUCUUCGGCUAACUCACAUGUUGGUACUUCGCUUUUGAAGGCUUUGAGAAAAAAAAAUAUGAAUUGGUAUAUAUAUCAAUAAUUUAAAAUAGUCAACAUUAAUAACACAAAGAAGUUAUACCUUUUUUCUCCAAACAACCAAUCUCUAGUGCAAAUAAUUGCCUCCACUGUGCUUUCUUUAAGUGAGCUACGAUAUUGAUCAAGUACUCUUCCACCAACACUAAAAACAGCUUCGGAAGCCACCGUAGUUAUGGGAAUGCUCAAAAUAUCACGAGCCAUGCGAGCUACUUGUGGAUACUUGUAUUGAUUCCCUUUCCAAAAGCCAAGAACAUCAAGAUUGGAUUUGGCAUCCAAUCUUGCUUCUUGCAUAUACAACUCUAAUUGUGACUUUUGUUCGCUUAAUCCAAACUCAUCCAAAGACACUAAAACUCUGUAGUUAAAAUACAAAUGAAAAUUUUAAUUAACAAGUAAGAAAUUUGAAUAAUAUUAAUAACAUAAGUAAAUAUAAUUUAGUAAUUUACCUCAACCACCGCUUUAGAUUCUUCGUUUGUGAAUUCACAGGUUGAAUCAUUUAAUGUCGGACCCCCACUUCUAGUAAGACCAAAACUGUCACUGUUGCUCUUAUGAUAUUCUUCAAAUAGAGCAAAUAACUUCUCUCUUACUAGUGAACACUGACGAGAGUUAGGGCCAUACAACUUCUUAUAAAAGAAUUCCACAAACUGAAACUUAUAGCGUGGAUCAAAGACCACAGCCAUAGUCAAGAUCAAGCUGAAAUCGGACCAAUACUUCUCAAACUUUGGUAGCAUCUUCUCAGCCAUUUUCUUUAUAUAAACAUCCGAACUAUUGCAACUUUGUCUCAAUGAACUGUAGCACAUGACAACGGGCUGAAAAUACAAAUUUGUUGUAGGAUAAUUGCUACCAGAAAACAAGUUCGAGACAUCGUAGAACAAGCUCAAGAAACCACGAAUCUUCUCAAUUCUAUCCCAUUCAACUGAAGAAGGACAAUGCUUGUAGUUGGGAUCAACAAGUUGAAAAUUCAUGAAUGCUUUCCUAUAAUAUAGUGCAUUAUCAAGCAUCAAAAAGGUAGAAUUCCACCUAGUAGGGACGUCCUGCCUUAGUCCUCUCUUACUUUGCAAAGAUAACUUGCUUACACAUUCCAAAAAUUUCUGCCUCCUCAUUUGUGAACCCCUCACAUAUUUCACACUUUCACGGAUCUUAACAACAGAAUUUUCAAUAUCAUUCAAACCAUCUUGGACUACCAAAUUGAUAAUAUGUGCACAACAACGGAUAUGGAAGAAUUCACCAUCACAAAGAAGUGCAUUAUUCAAGUUCAACUGUGAGAUCAACAACUCAACAGACACAUCAUUUGCACUAGCAUUAUCCAAAGUCAAAGAAAAUACUUUGUUUUCAAUCCCCCAGUCACAAAGCAUGGAAAACAACUUAUUUGAUAAUGCUACACCAGUAUGAGGAGAUGGCAUCAAAGAAAAAUUCAACACCUUCUUACGUAACACCCAUUCCUCAUCAAUGAAGUGACAAGUAAGAGAAAUAUAACCAUCUGUUGUAAUAGAACUCCAACAAUCAGAAGUCAAGGAAAUUCUACCACAUGCUUUUUGCAAUUCAGACUUAAUCUUCAUCUUUUCUCUUUCAUACAAUUUCAAAACAUCAGCCUUCACUGUAUUUCUAGUAACCAUCUUAAUAUCCCACUUAAGAUACUCAAAAAUAGCUAUAAUGCGUUCAUAUUCAACGAAUCGAAAUGGCAAAUCAUGAACAACAAUAGCAGCACACAAUAACUCCCUAAAGUGAUCAGGAUCAAAUUUUGUUUUACUAGUAGUCAUCAAUUCACCAACAUCAUGUGUAUUCUUCCUUUGACAACCAUCUAAAUGACGUUUCAAGUUUCCAGUUCCACAUUUGCUUGUCACUUUGUAAUAACGAUGCCCACAAUAGACACACACACAUGUUUUGGAACCAUCUGCACUAGUAGUAACUUUAUAGUGAUUCCAACAGCUGACCUCGGUUUUCUUUUGUUCGUUGGGGGCUUAGCUGUAGGAUUGGACGUCCCUAAACCAGUUUCUGCAUCUGUGGCAGCAGAAGGGGCAACAGCUGCAGGGCUAGCAGUAGAAGCAAUACAAGGCAUUUCACUUGUAUAUGUCGUAAAAGUAUUUUCAUCACCAUCGGUAUCAUCAUUGCUAGACAUAAUUACCUAUAACAACAAAGAACAAAUAACUAUUAGUACAUAAGAUUUAAAUGAGCAAUAAAAGACAAUAAAAAUUGAGAUCACAAGAACAGCAACAAAGGGAAAGUGGAACACAGCCUCAUUUUCGAAACUAAAUCAUCUUUUUCCAAAUGUAGAUUAUGUCUACAAUUUAUUUCCAUUAACAGUUUAACACCAUCUUUUUGAGAUUAUCUAAGGAUUGAAAGAUCGAAUGAAUAAUUUAGUAUAAUACUCAAACAAAAAGAAUUAGUAAUAGUAUUAUUGAAUUUGAAUGAAUCAUCACCAGGUGGUCUCUACCAAACAAAACAAUAGGAAAUAAUCUAAAUUACUCUUUUCUCAUAGAAAUCUGAAAUCUACGAGUCCUAAAUUCUUCACAAUCCAAAUUACUUCUCAAUCUCGAAAAUAAAUACAAGCAGAGUUAUUAUUAUUGAAGGAAUCACCGGCGUUGGUGACUUACCGGACAAGAGAGGCAGCUGGCAGCGCGGGCAGGGAGUUAAGCGCGCUUCUCUUCCGAUUCAGCGGAAGUUUGAGACGGCGGCGGAGGUGGAGGUGCGCCGCUGGAGAGUGGUGAUUGGAGGUGAGUCGCGGUGACAGGCCGUGCUUCUCUUCCGAUUCGGCAGAUUUUGAGACGGCGGCAGAGGUGGAGUGCGCCGCUGGAGAGUGGUGACUGGUGGUGAGUGCCGGUGACUGGCUGCGCCGCCGUGGCCGUCG
rnacentral:lncRNA from 1 species